GAAAUAGGUUAUUCGAAGAUAGGCUUCUAACUUAAACUUCAAGCGAUGAAAUUUCGUUUAUAUUUCU
rnacentral:tRNA from 1 species